UACGUAGGGGGCUAGCGUUAUCCGGAAUUACUGGGCGUAAAGGGUGCGUAGGUGGUUUCUUAAGUCAGAGGUGAAAGGCUACGGCUCAACCGUAGUAAGCCUUUGAAACUGGGAAACUUGAGUGCAGGAGAGGAGAGUGGAAUUCCUAGUGUAGCGGUGAAAUGCGUAGAUAUUAGGAGGAACACCAGUUGCGAAGGCAGCUCUCUGGACUGUAACUGACACUGAGGCACGAAAGCGUGGGGAGCAAACAGGAUUAGAUACCCUGGUAGUCCCUGA
rnacentral:rRNA from 1 species